GACGAACCGUACGAACGUUAUUCGGAAUCACUGGGCUUAAAGGGUGCGUAGGCGGCGCGACAAGUUGGGUGUGAAAUCCCUCGGCUCAACCGAGGAACUGCGCCCAAAACUGUCGUGCUCGAGGGAGACAGAGGUGAGCGGAACUUAGGGUGGAGCGGUGAAAUGCGUUGAUAUCAGAAGGAACGCCGGUGGCGAAAGCGCUCGACUGGACCUCUGCUGACGCUGAGGCGCGAAAGCCAGGGGAGCAAACGGG
rnacentral:rRNA from 1 species